rnacentral:rRNA from 1 species
GAUGAACGCUGGCGGCGCGCCUAAUACAUGCAAGUCGAGCGAACGGACGAGAAGCUUGCUCUUCUGAUGUUAGCGGCGGACGGGUGAGUAACACGUGGAUAACCUACCUAUAAUACUGGGAUAACUUCGGGAAACCGGAGCUAAUACCGGAUAAUAUUUUGAACCGCAUGGUUCAAAAGUGAAAGACGGUCUUGCUGUUACAUUUAGAUGGAUCCGCGCUGCAUUAGCUAGUUGGUAAGGUAACGGCUUACCAAGGCAACGAUGCAUAGCCGACCUGAGAGGGUGAUCGGCCACACUGGAACUGAGACACGGUCCAGACUCCUACGGGAGGCAGCAGUAGGGAAUCUUCCGCAAAGGGCGAAAGCCUGACGGAGCAACGCCGCGUGAGUGAUGAAGGUCUUCGGAUCGUAAAACUCUGUUAUUAGGGAAGAACAUAUGUGUAAGUAACUGUGCACAUCUUGACGGUACCUAAUCAGAAAGCCACGGCUAACUACGUG